AGUGGCUUUCCAGAUGAGUAAGCUGCCCAUGCCAUAGGCGCUAAUGCAACCCCAUCCCAUCAGAGAUGCAGGCUUCGAUAACAAGCUAGAUGACCCCUCUCCUCUUCAGAGGCCACAGCAUCCAUGGUUCCCGAAAAGACAGGCAUGGUGUGGGACGGAAAAUACUCUGUGAACUCAAAUGCAAAAGGUCUAUAACUCAAAGAUGAAACCCCAAACCUUCUCAUCUGUAACACCUGCAAGAGCCGUGAAGAUCCGUGGCCCCAGGUCUCUGGCCGGAUUCACCGCAUACCCACAGUUAAAGCCCAUCGACAGGCCGAUGACCAACACCACAAAGCCGAUGGUGAACGGCUCCAGACCUUUGGGAGUUGGAUUGUUGUUUGGAUCAACUAUGGCCAGGAUGGACACGAUCAGUGCAGCUGUUCCAAUAACCUGGGAUAAAGUAAAGAGUGUCCCAACUAUUUUGGAAUUGGGAUUUGGUUAUUCUUACCUGAGAUCUGUCCACUCACAAGGAUCCCCAGGGUUACAGAAAAUCCAAAGGCCAAGUUGACGCUG